GUUGUCGUCAGCUCGUGUCGUGAGAUGUUGGGUUAAGUCCCGCAACGAGCGCAACCCUUAAGCUUAGUUGCCAUCAUUAAGUUGGGCACUCUAAGUUGACUGCCGGUGACAAACCGGAGGAAGGUGGGGAUGACGUCAAAUCAUCAUGCCCCUUAUGAUUUGGGCUACACACGUGCUACAAUGGACAAUACAAAGGGUAGCGAAACCGCGAGGUCAAGCAAAUCCCCCAAAAAGUUGUUUUCAGUUCGGGAUUGUAGUCUGCAACUCGACUACAUGAAGCGGGAAUCGCUAGUAAUCGUAGAUCAGCAUGCUACGGUGAAUACGUUCCCGGGUCUUGUACACACCGCCCGUCACACCACGAGAGUUUGUAACACCCGAAGCCGGUGGAGUAACCUUUUGGAGCUAGCCGUCGAAGGUGGGACAAAUG
rnacentral:rRNA from 1 species